CGACUCUGGUUUCUCUUCAUUACGCACAAGCCUUUCGCCAUUAACUAAAGACUUCGUGGAGAUGAACACUUACGAGUUCAACGUAUUUUUGGAGGGGCUUUGCCUCUUGCAGAGCC
rnacentral:snRNA from 1 species